rnacentral:lncRNA from 1 species
GGCAUAUGGUUACCAUAUAAUUCAUCUCUUUGACCCUAAUGCUCAAGAACGACCUAAGAUUUAACUAUCAAUCCUAGAUAAGUCAUCUAUAUUGUAUUUCAAUCUUUCAAAUCUAUCACAUGGAUUAUUCGAGCUCAGAUUUUGCUAAAUUGAAAUACAUUGAUAGAUAACUCUUACUAAUUUGGAGGGAUCAAUCCCAUC